GACGAACGCUGGCGGCGUGCUUAACACAUGCAAGUCGAGCGGUAAGGCCCUUUCGGGGGUACACGAGCGGCGAACGGGUGAGUAACACGUGGGUGACCUGCCCUCAGCUCUGGGAUAAGCCCGGGAAACUGGGUCUAAUACUGGAUAUGACUCCAUGACGCAUGUUGUGGGGUGGAAAGCCUUGCGCGGCUGAGGAUGGGCCCGCGGCCUAUCAGCUUGUUGGGGGGUGAUGGCC
rnacentral:rRNA from 1 species